rnacentral:rRNA from 1 species
UACGUAGGUGGCGAGCGUUGUCCGGAUUUAUUGGGCGUAAAGGGCGCGCAGGUGGUGUGGUGGGUCCGUCGUGAAAUCUCCCGGCUCAACUGGGAGGGUGCGGCGGAGACUGCCAGACUAGAGGCACUCAGAGGCCGGUGGAAUUCCCGGUGUAGUGGUGAAAUGCGUAGAGAUCGGGAGGAACACCCGUGGCGAAGGCGGCUCUCUGGGACGGUACUGACGCUGAGACGCGAAAGCGUGGGGAGCGAACAGG